rnacentral:rRNA from 1 species
UACGUAGGUGGCAAGCGUUGUCCGGAAUUAUUGGGCGUAAAGCGCGCGCAGGCGGUUCCUUAAGUCUGAUGUGAAAGCCCACGGCUCAACCGUGGAGGGUCAUUGGAAACUGGGGAACUUGAGUGCAGGAGAGAAGAGUGGAAUUCCACGUGUAGCGGUGAAAUGCGUAGAGAUGUGGAGGAACACCAGUGGCGAAGGCGACUCUUUGGCCUGUAACUGACGCUGAGGCGCGAAAGCGUGGGGAGCGAACGG